rnacentral:tRNA from 1 species
GAAAAACUAGUUAAAAUUUAAUAACAUUAGAAUGUCAAUCUAAAAUUACUUUAUAUGUGUUUUUUA